rnacentral:rRNA from 1 species
AGUUGGGCACUCUAGAGAGACUGCCAGGGAUAACCUGGAGGAAGGUGGGGAUGACGUCAAAUCAUCAUGCCCCUUAUGUUUAGGGCUACACACGUGCUACAAUGGGUGCUACAAAGGGAAGCAAAUCCGCGAGGCCGAGCAAAUCUCAAAAAAGCACUCCCAGUUCGGAUUGUAGUCUGCAACUCGACUACAUGAAGUUGGAAUCGCUAGUAAUCGCGAAUCAGAAUGUCGCGGUGAAUACGUUCCCGGGUCUUGUACACACCGCCCGUCACACCAUGGGAGUUGGGGGGGCCCAACGCCAGUGACCUAACCCGCAAGGGAAGGAGCUGUCUAAGGCAAAACCAAUGACUGGGGUGAAGUCGUAACAAGGUAGCCGUAUCGGAAGGUGCGGCUGGAUCACCUCCUUU